AUUUAGCCAUGCUAGUUGCGCGAGGUUCAGACCCGCAGCGAAUAGCUCAGUAACACGUGGCCAAGCUACCCUGUGGACGGGAAUAAUCUCGGGAAACUGAGGCUAAUCCCCGAUAACGCUUCUCUCCUGGAAGGGAAAAUGCCGGAAACGCUCCGGCGCCACAGGAUGCGGCUGCGGUCGAUUAGGUAGACGGUGGGGUAACGGCCCACCGUGCCUAUAAUCGGUACGGGUUGUGAGAGCAAGAACCCGGAGACGGAAUCUGAGACAAGAUUCCGGGCCCUACGGGGCGCAGCAGGCGCGAAACCUUUACACUGUACGAAAGUGCGAUAAGGGGACUCCGAGUGUGAAGGCAUAGAGCCUUCACUUUUGUACACCGUAAGGUGGUGUACGAAUAAGAACUGGGCAAGACCGGUGCCAGCCGCCGCGGUAAUACCGGCAGUUCGAGUGAUGGCCGAUAUUAUUGGGCCUAAAGCGUCCGUAGCUGGCUACACAAGUCCGUUGGGAAAUCUGCCCGCUUAACGGGCAGGCGUCCAGCGGAAACUGUCUAGCUUGGGACCGGAAGACCUGAGGGGUACGUCUGGGGUAGGAGUGAAAUCCCGUAAUCCUGGACGGACCACCGGUGGCGAAAGCGCCUCCGAGAACGGAUCCGACAGUGAGGGACGAAAGCUAGGGUCUCGAACCGGAUUAGAUACCCGGGUAGUCCUAGCUGUAAACGAUGUCCGCUAGGUGUGGCGCAGGCUACGAGCCUGCGCUGUGCCGUAGGGAAGCCGAGAAGCGGACCGCCUGGGAAGUACGUUUGCAAGGAUGAAACUUAAAGGAAUUGGCGGGGGAGCACAUACAACCGGAGGAGCCUGCGGUUUAAUUGGACUCAACGCCGGACAUCUCACCAGCCCCGACAGUAGUAAUGACGGUCAGGUUGAUGACCUUACCCGAUGCUACUGAGAGGAGGUGCAUGGCCGCCGUCAGCUCGUACCGUGAGGCGUCCUGUUAAGUCAGGCAACGAGCGAGACCCGCACUCCUAAUUGCCAGCAGUACCCUUUGGGUAGCUGGGUACAUUAGGGGGACUGCCGGUGCUAAAGCGGAGGAAGGAACGGGCAACGGUAGGUCCGUAUGCCCCGAAUGGGCUGGGCAACCCGCGGGGUACAAUGGUCGAGACAAAGGGAAGCCAAUUCGAGAGGAGGCGGUAAUUUCCUAAAAUCGAUUGUAGUUUGGAUUGAGGGGUGAAACUUGCCCUCAUGAAGCUGGAUUCGGUAGUAAUCGCGUGUCAGCAGCGCGCGGUGAAUACGUCCCUGCUCCUUGCCCCCCCCGCCCGUCAAAUCCCCCGAGUGGGGUUCCGAUGAGGCCGGCAAGCGCCGGUCGAAUCUGGGCUCCGCA
rnacentral:rRNA from 1 species